UACGUAGGGUGCGAGCGUUAAUCGGAAUUACUGGGCGUAAAGCGUGCGCAGGCGGCGCGUUAAGACAGGUGUGAAAGCCCCGAGCUUAACUUGGGAAUUGCGCUUGUGACUGGCGGGCUGGAGUGUGGCAGAGGGAGGUGGAAUUCCACGUGUAGCAGUGAAAUGCGUAGAGAUGUGGAGGAAUACCGAUGGCGAAGGCAGCCCCCUGGGAUAACACUGACGCUCAUGCACGAAAGCGUGGGGAGCAAACAGG
rnacentral:rRNA from 1 species